rnacentral:rRNA from 1 species
GCCUACGGCCAUACCACCCUGAGAACGCCCGAUCCCGUCUGAUCUCGGAAGCUAAGCAGGGUCGGGCCCGGUUAGUACUUGGAUGGGAGACUGCCUGGGAAUACCGGGUGCUGUAGGCA